rnacentral:lncRNA from 1 species
GCCAGAUCCUGGAACUCUGUGAAGGUUUAAGAUUGACGAGUGGAACCCCAGAGGGAACAAUGAAGGAAUUACCUGUGUCAAGCCCAUGAACUGCUUGCCUGUCCCCUGUUUUGUGAGAUCCAGAGAUGGCAUUCAAGAGGAGCACAAGUGCACGGAACAGAUCCUCAAAAGUGGAAGUCCCAUUUCUUUGGUCCCUGCCUCUUCUCCCUUACCAAGCCAUCUCUCAAGUCAUCAGAAACUUCUGGAUAAGAAGUGUCUGUGGCAUCAAGGAAAAGUUUCCAGGAAAUUGUUACUAUUUCAACAUGGAGCCUGGAAGGACAGAUGCACAGAGAAGCUGUGAACCCAACCUCUACACCUUGAGCCAACCCCGGCUGUAUCUUGCCAAGUUAAUGCAUAUACCAAGAUAUUGCUGGCUGAUAAUUUCACUGAAAUCAAUUUA